GGCCUAACACAUGCAAGUCGAGGGCGAAAACACUUCGGUGUGAGUAGAGCGGCGGACGGGUGAGUAAUGCUUGGGAAUCUGCCCAGUAGUGGGGGAUAACGUGUGGAAACGCACGCUAAUACCGCAUACGUCCUACGGGAGAAAGCAGGGGAUCUUCGGACCUUGCGCUAUUGGAUGAGCCCAAGUCGGAUUAGCUAGUUGGUGGGGUAAUGGCCUACCAAGGCGACGAUCCGUAGCUGGUCUGAGAGGAUGAUCAGCCACACUGGGACUGAGACACGGCCCAGACUCCUACGGGAGGCAGCAGUGGGGAAUAUUGCACAAUGGGCGAAAGCCUGAUGCAGCCAUGCCGCGUGUGUGAAGAAGGCUCUAGGGUUGUAAAGCACUUUCAGUAGGGAGGAAAAGCUUAAGGUUAAUAACCUUGAGCCCUGACGUUACCUACAGAAGAAGCACCGGCAAACUCCGUGCCAGCAGCCGCGGUAAUACGGAGGGUGCGAGCGUUAAUCGGAAUUACUGGGCGUAAAGCGCGCGUAGGUGGUUUGAUAAGCUAGCUGUGAAAGCCCCGGGCUCAACCUGGGAACUGCAGUUAGAACUGUCUGACUAGAGUACAGUAGAGGGUGGCGGAAUUUCCUGUGUAGCGGUGAAAUGCGUAGAUAUAGGAAGGAACAUCAGUGGCGAAGGCGGCCACCUGGACUGA
rnacentral:rRNA from 1 species